AGUCAACGCUGGCGGUAGGCCUAACACAUACAAGUCGAACGGCAGCACAGUAAGAGCUUGCUCUUACGGGUGGCGAGUGGCGGACGGGUGAGGAAUACAUCGGAAUCUACUUUUUCGUGGGGGAUAACGUAGGGAAACUUACGCUAAUACCGCAUACGACCUACGGGUGAAAGCAGGGGAUCUUCGGACCUUGCGCGAUUGAAUGAGCCGAUGUCGGAUUAGCUAGUUGGCGGGGUAAAGGCCCACCAAGGCGACGAUCCGUAGCUGGUCUGAGAGGAUGAUCAGCCACACUGGAACUGAGACACGGUCCAGACUCCUACGGGAGGCAGCAGUGGGGAAUAUUGGACAAUGGGCGCAAGCCUGAUCCAGCCAUACCGCGUGGGUGAAGAAGGCCUUCGGGUUGUAAAGCCCUUUUGUUGGGAAAGAAAAGCAGCAGGUUAAUACCCCGCUGUUCUGACGGUACCCAAAGAAUAAGCACCGGCUAACUUCGUG
rnacentral:rRNA from 1 species